rnacentral:rRNA from 1 species
AACGAACGCUGGCGGCAUGCCUAACACAUGCAAGUCGAACGAGACCUUCGGGUCUAGUGGCGCACGGGUGCGUAACGCGUGGGAACCUGCCCUUAGGUUCGGAAUAACUCCCCGAAAGGGGUGCUAAUACCGGAUAAUGUCUUCGGACCAAAGAUUUAUCGCCUGUGGAUGGGCCCUCGUUGGAUUAGCUAGUUGGUAGGGUAAAGGCCUACCAAGGCGAUGAUGCAUAGCUGGUCUGAGAGGAUGAUCAGCCACACUGGGACUGAGACACGGACCAGACUCCUCGGGGAGGCAGCAGAGGGGAACAGGGAGCAAGGGGCGGAAGCCAGAUGCAGCAACGCCGCGUGCGGGAGGACGGACGUCGGGGGGGAAACCGCUUUCGCCGGGGACGAAGCGUGAGUGACGGUAAUGGGUAAAGAAGCACCGGCUAACUACGUG